rnacentral:rRNA from 1 species
UACGUAGGUGGCAAGCGUUGUCCGGAUUUACUGGGUGUAAAGAGCGCGCAGGCGGUCGUUCAAGUCGCGUGUGAAAGCCCCCGGCUCAACUGGGGAGGGUCACGCGAUACUGAUCGACUCGAAGGCAGGAGAGGGAAGUGGAAUUCCCGGUGUAGUGGUGAAAUGCGUAGAUAUCGGGAGGAACACCAGUGGCGAAGGCGACUUCCUGGCCUGUUCUUGACGCUGAGGCGCGAAAGCUAGGGGAGCAAACGGG